AUUGAACGCUGGCGGCAUGCUUUACACAUGCAAGUCGAACGGUAACAGGGUGCUUGCACCGCUGACGAGUGGCGAACGGGUGAGUAAUGCGUCGGAACGUGCCGAGUAGUGGGGGAUAACGCAGCGAAAGUUGUUCUAUACCGCAUACGUACUGAGGUAGACAGUGGGGGACCUUCGGGCCUCACGCCAUUCGAGCGGCCGACGUCUGAUUAGCUAGUAGGUGAGGUAAAGGCCAACCUAGGGGACGAUCAGUAGCGGGUCUGAGAGGAUGAUCCGCCACACUGGGACUGAGACACGGCCCAGACUCCUACGGGAGGCAGAAGUGGGGAAUUUUGGACAAUGGGCGAAAGCCUGAUCCAGCCAUGCCGCGUGUCUGAAGAAGGCCUUCGGGUUGUAAAGGACUUUUGUCGGGGAGGAAAUCCCCAGCGUUAAUACCGCUGGGGGAUGGCAGUACCUGAAGAAUAAGCACCGGCUAACUACGUGCCAGCAGCCGCGGUAAAAC
rnacentral:rRNA from 1 species